UUUUGACCCUUUGUGAAUGCAAAGAAGACAUAAAAAAUAAAGUUCACGCGAUGAUCGAUAAAUUGGCUGAACAUUUGCAGAGCUCACGCCGAUGAACAACUUGCUAUUGCUAAGGAGAUUGGUAGACGACUUCGUAUGGGGCAAACACGCACCCUUCUUCUUUACUUGGUGGCGACAAGGAUGCAUCUAUAGCAGUUCACCUUAUUUAAGAGCUGAUUGAGGAAACUGAUGAAUUUACUGGACUUUUCCUAGAACUUAAGUAUGAGAUGUGAAGGAUUUACAAGAAAGAAUGUGCAUUUGUAGAAAGAUAGGUGAUGGUGUGAAUGAUGCACCUGUUUUUAAAAAAAAAAAAAAAGCUAAAAGCACACUUUGGUAAUUGAUGUUGCUUAGCUAUAGAUGAUGAAAUCGUGUAGCAGACUACAUUUGUUACCAAUUGCGAAUCUGCUGGAGAGAGCCACAUGUAUUUAUUUUUUAAUUUUCGAAUAUUUGUUAUGCGGUUAAUAUUACUAUUUUUCAUAUAGUUUGCUCACUUAAUAUUCAUGAUUUGUAGUAUGAGGGAUAAGAUUGAGACUCCAGAAGAGAUUUAGUUUAGGAAAUCAGUCAAAUAAUUUC
rnacentral:lncRNA from 1 species